rnacentral:lncRNA from 1 species
AAAAGUAACAUACCUAAUUUACAUAUAUAAAUAAAUAUUUUACAAUGUUCCUUAUUUCUAACAACUUAAACUUUUAGAUGAGGUAGGUGAGACGCUUCAAUAUGGUAUCAGAGCCUCAAGAUUCUUGGUAGAACAGUAAUUUUCAUGAAACAGCCGACAACCUUACGCUGCCUGCCCAGACAUAAAAUGCAGCCUGCAGUUACAGUUUUUUGUCUUCUUUCAUAUAUUUGAGAUCAUAAUUGCAUUUAAUUUUUAAAUUAGUUUGGUGUACUGUUAUGAUAUU